AACCGUACUUUCGUUUUGACAACUGACGACAGAAAUGAUUCGAUUUACGAUGUGAAUCUUAAUUUAGUUUUAGUGCAGAUUCGUUCAUACGACACAAAGACACUAUUUUGUUUCACGGAUCAUUUCGGCUUAGAGGACUGGAUCACUAAGCUGUCCUGAGAUUCAACAUUGAUUUCAAACUUUUACUGGUUCCGCAUGGUACCUUAAAUUGCAACAGAGGACCAGGAAGAAUUCGAACUCUAUCGCUUAACAGAUCAGAUGGAAGAUAAAGGACGGAAACGACCAAUAAUGGUGAUAUAUGUAUUUCAAUUGUUCAUUAUAACACGUGCAUGCAUACCUUUUACGAUAUACAAUGUAGUUGAAUUGUUUGGACAGCCUGGAAUGUGGAACAAACUUUGUUUUUCUACUGACCUUGGUCGUUUUUAUAUAGAUCCAACAAUGUAGAUCCAUAAUGAUCAGUUAUAUAUGCAAGACACAUCUUCCAACGAAAAUCAAAUUUGGAUUAUUAAUGCUGUAAGCAUAUUUAUGUACUUUUCAUAAAUUACUUGUGGUAACCAAAUACUUAAGCGCAAUAAUUAAAGGUAAAUUGACCAAUAAUAACUAACAAUUCUUUGUUAAGUUCAUUAUAUUUUAAACGUAUUCAUACCAAUUAAUGAAUCCUUUCAAGUGUUGUAACGAAGGACAUCUCACCGAUUAAGGGAUAGAUUUUCAAUGUUUUAGGAUACGAAACAAGGUCCAUCAAUGAAGUAUAUUGAACUGAAAGGUUAGC